rnacentral:rRNA from 1 species
AGAGUUUGAUCCUGGCUCAGGAUGAACGCUGGCGCGUGCUUAACACAUGCAAGUCGAACGGAAAGGCCAGUGCUUGCACUGGUACUCGAGUGGCGAACGGGUGAGUAACACGUGGGUGAUCUGCCCUGCACUUCGGGAUAAGCCUGGGAAACUGGGUCUAAUACCGGAUAGGACCAUCGUUUAGUGUCGGUGGUGGAAAGUUUUUUCGGUGUGGGAUGAGCUCGCGGCCUAUCAGCUUGUUGGUGGGGUAAUGGCCUACCAAGGCGUCGACGGGUAGCCGACCUGAGAGGGUGUACGGCCACAUUGGGACUGAGAUACGGCCCAGACUCCUACGGGAGGCAGCAGUGGGGAAUAUUGCACAAUGGGCGCAAGCCUGAUGCAGCGACGCCGCGUGGGGGAUGACGGCCUUCGGGUUGUAAACUCCUUUCGCCAGGGACGAAGCGUAAGUGACGGUACCUGGACAAGAAGCACCGGCUAACUACGUG